UACGAAGGGGGCAAGCGUUGUUCGGAAUUAUUGGGCGUAAAGGGAGCGUAGGCGGUUCGGCAAGUCUUUAGUGAAAUCUCUGGGCUCAACUCAGAGUCUGCUGGAGAAACUGCCGGGCUGGAGUAUGGGAGAGGUGAGUGGAAUUCCCGGUGUAGAGGUGAAAUUCGUAGAUAUUCGGAAGAACACCAGUGGCGAAGGCGACUUACUGGACACAUAUUGACGCUGAGGUGCGAAAGCGUGGGGAGCAAACAGG
rnacentral:rRNA from 1 species